rnacentral:rRNA from 1 species
CCAAUAGCGUAUAUUAAAGUUGUUGCAGUUAAAAAGCUCGUAGUUGAAUUUCGGGAUCAGUUGAUCGGUCGUGCCUCGGUACGUACUGGUCAAAUUGAUUCCUACCUUCUGACGAACCACGAUGUCAUUAAUUUGAUGUCGCGGGAAAUCAGGACUGUUACUUUGAAAAAAUUAGAGUGUUUAAAGCAGGCUCGCGCUUG